UUGAAAGAAAGUAAGCAAGGGCGCAUGGCGGAUGCCUUGGCUCUCGGAGGCGAUGAAGGACGUGAUAAGCUGCGAUAAGCUUCGGGCAGGUGCAAAUAACCUUUGAUCCGAAGAUUUCCGAAUGGGACAACCCGUCAUUCUGAAGGAAUGACAUCUUGCAUAGCAAGAGGCUAACGCAGGGAACUGAAACAUCUUAGUACCUGUAGGAAAAGAAAAUAAUAAUGAUUCCCCUAGUAGUGGCGAGCGAACGGGGAUUAGCCCAAACCAAUGUUGUUACGGCAAUAUUGGGGUUGUAGGACCACGAUGUCGCAAGAAGUUUAGUGAGAAGAACCCUUUGGAAAAUGGGACCAUAGACGGUGAUAGUCCGGUAUUCGAAGCUAAAUGAAGCGUAGUGGUAUCCUGAGUAGCGCGGGACACGAGGAAUCUUGCGUGAAUCUGCCGGGACCAUCCGGUAAGGCUAAAUACUCCCGAGAGACCGAUAGCGAACCAGUACUGUGAAGGAAAGGUGAAAAGCACUUCGAAUAGAAGAGUGAAAUAGUCCCUGAAACCGUGCGCCUACAAGCGGUCGGAGCUGCUUCAGCAGUGACGGCGUGCCUUUUGCAUAAUGAACCUACGAGUUACUUUUUCCGGCAAGGUUAAGGAUCUUGAGAUCCGCAGCCGAAGCGAAAGCGAGUCUUAAUAGGGCGAUUAGUCGGAAGGAGUAGACGCGAAACCAAGUGAUCUACCCUUGGUCAGGUUGAAGGUUAGGUAACACUAACUGGAGGACCGAACCGAUAAGCGUUGAAAAGCUUCCGGAUGAACUGAGGGUGGGGGUGAAAGGCUAAUCAAACUUGGAGAUAGCUCGUACUCCCCGAAAUGCAUUUAGGUGCAGCCUUGGGAAUUACUACUGUGAGGUAGAGCGACUGAUAAGAUGCGAGGGCUUCACCGCCUAUCAAGUCUUGAUAAACUCCGAAUGCGCAGUAGUUCGAUCCCAGGAGUGAGGGCAUGGGUGCUAAGGUCCAUGUCCUAAAGGAGAAGAAUCCAGACCAUCAGCUAAGGUCCCGAAAUAAUUGCUAAGUUGAACUAACGAAGUCAGAUUGCUAAGACAGCUAGGAUGUUGGCUUGGAAGCAGCCAUUCAUUUAAAGAGUGCGUAACAGCUCACUAGUCGAGGAGUUUGGCGUGGAUAAUAAUCGGGCAUUAAGCAAUUUACCGAAGCUAUGGGAUGUUAACUAAACACUAACAUCGGUAGGGGAGCAUUCCACUCUGCGUCGAAGGUGAAGCGUGAGCUUUGCUGGAGCGUGUGGAAAAGCAAAUGUAGGUAUAAGUAACGAUAAAGGGGGUGAGAAACCCCCUCGCCGAAAGACUAAGGUUUCCUGAUCAACGCUAAUCGGAUCAGGGUUAGUCGGGUCCUAAGGCUCAGCCGAACGGUGAGGCCGAUGGCAGAACAGGUUAAUAUUCCUGUACUACCUUAAGGAGUGACGUGGAGACGGAGGAGUGACAACGCCGCGGACUGACGGAAUAGUCCGUUGAAGGGUGUAGAUGUUGAUUAUCCCAGGCAAAUCCGGGAUAAGAGUCGAACCUGAUAGUAUACCAAAUUCUUCGGAAUAAGGUAAUAGUGCGUGUAAGCAUACUCCCAAGAAAAUCCGCUAAACUUAAUCUUUAAGGUACCCGUACCGCAAACGGACACACGUAGUCGGGUUGAAUAUACUAAGGCGCUUGAGUGAUUCACGGUUAAGGAACUAGGCAAAUUGACCCUGUAACUUCGGGAUAAAGGGUCCCAACGAGAGUUGGGCGCAGAGAAUAGGUCCAGGCAACUGUUUAACAAAAACACAGGGCUGUGCUAAAUUGAAAGAUUACGUAUACAGCCUGACACCUGCCCGGUGCUGGAAGGUUAAGAGGAGAUGUCAUCGCAAGAGAAGCAUUGAAUUGAAGCCCCAGUAAACGGCGGCCGUAACUAUAACGGUCCUAAGGUAGCGAAAUUCCUUGUCGGGUAAGUUCCGACCUGCACGAAUGGUGUAAUGAUCUGGACACUGUCUCAACCGUGAGCUCAGUGAAAUUGUAGUAUCGGUGAAGAUGCCGAUUACCCGCGAUGGGACGAAAAGACCCCGUGAACCUUUACUAUAGCUUAACAUUGAAUUUGGGUAAUUGAUGUGUAGGAUAGGCCGGAGACUUUGAAGCAGGUACGCCAGUAUUUGUGGAGUCGCUGUUGAAAUACGGCCCUUUGAUUAUUUGAGUUCUAACUCGUAGAUACGAGGACACUGUUUGGUGGGUAGUUUGACUGGGGUGGUCGCCUCCAAAAGUGUAACGGAGGCUUCUAAAGGUGCCCUCAGGACGAUUGGUAACCGUCCGUAGAGUGUAAUGGCAUAAGGGCGCUUGACUGGGAGACAGACAAGUCGAUCAGGUAGGAAACUAGAGCAUAGUGAUCCGGUGUUUCCGUAUGGAAGGGACAUCGCUCAAAGGAUAAAAGGUACUCCGGGGAUAACAGGCUGAUCCCUCCCAAGAGCUCAUAUCGACGGAGGGGUUUGGCACCUCGAUGUCGGCUCGUCACAUCCUGGGGCUGGAGAAGGUCCCAAGGGUUGGGCUGUUCGCCCAUUAAAGUGGCACGCGAGCUGGGUUCAGAACGUCGUGAGACAGUUCGGUCUCUAUCUAUCGUGGGCGUAUGAAAUUUGCGUGGCUCUGACACUAGUACGAGAGGACCGUGUUGGACUGACCGCUGGUUUACCAGUUGUGCCGCCAGGUGCAUUGCUGGGUAUCUAAGUCGGGAUUGGAUAAGUGCUGAAAGCAUCUAAGUACGAAGCCAGCCACAAGAUUAGAUUUCUUAGGGUCGUCAAAGACGAUGACGUUGAUAGGAUGCAGGUGUAAAGGUGGUAACAUCAAAGCCGAGCAUUACUAAUUGCCCGUUCACUUUCUUUCGA
rnacentral:rRNA from 1 species